CAAAAGGUUCCACAAUUUUAUUGUUCUCUAAUUUAUUUCCCCUCUCUGGAGCAACUCCACCUCCGUUUUAAUACUUUCAAAUAUUACAUUCCUUUUUUUCCAAAAUCAAGAUAUCUCGGUGCCCGCUCGUGAAGAUAUAUUUAAGAGGAUGUCGCCGAAAUGUCCCAGCAUGAUGCGCCUGAAUCUAGUGUCCUCCACCGGUGGUGGUGGUGACGCAGCACUGUUGGAAGAAGGAGACAUUUCUGAUAGCACUUCUGUACUGUCUCUCUUUCCAAGCAAGCCGCCAUCACCAAAGAAGCUGCUCAUUGAUGAUG